GGCGGGACGGGAGGGGGUGGGAGAGGGUCCACCACGCAGGUCUGCGCCCCGGCCUGGGAUCUGGACGCCGGACCGCUGGACCUACAAAUGGACAAGUUUGCUCUGCGACAAGUGGCGGGCGGGGCUGGGUUGGGGUUGGGUGUUCCAGGAGGCCCGGGCUGCUGGAGGAGGAAUCUGCUUCCUUCCUUCCCGGGAGAUCUCCGGGCCUGCCGCUCUCCCCCGCGCCGCGCUCCCGGACCCGCAGGGGGUCGCAUCGACUCCCCCUCCGCUCCCUAUCUACCCCAGCCCCCCGGGCCCCGCUGAAUUACAGGCGGGAAAACGCGGAGUCCCUUCCCGUGUCGCUCCGGAGAGGGAGGGGGACGACAGAGGAAGUUGGACUGAAUCAAGUCGAAGCGGUUUAUCGAGGGAACCUGUAAAACCCGAAUCUUAAAAGGAGGGGGAAGCAAAGCAUCCGUCACAGGCCACUCCCCGGCUGUUCGACAAGCCACCAGACCCUCUCUUCCUCUUCCCGCCCCCUCCCCACGGCUGCUGGGGGCUCCCGCCUCCCUUCGGCCUCUGUCCAACUUCAGCCUCCGUCCGGCCUCGACCUCCCUCCAGCGUCGGCCUCCGUCCAACCUCAACUUCCUUCCAGCCUCGGCCUCUCUCCAGCUUCGGCCUCCGUCCAACCUCAACCUCCCUCCAGCCUCGGCCUCCCUCCAGCCUCGGCCUCCGUCCAGCCUCAACCUCCUUCCAGCCUCGGCCUCCGUCCAGCCUCAACCUCCGUCCAACCUCAACCUCCUUCCAGCCUCGGCCUCCCUCCAGCUUCGGCCUCCGUCCAACCUCCUUCCAGCCUCGGCCUCCCUCCGGCCUCAGCUUCCCUCCAGCUUCGGCCUCCGUCCAGCCUCAGUGGACCACCUCUCCCUGCAGGCCCGAGCUCCCUUCCCCUCGACUUCAGCCCCUACUUCCAGCCUCCACCUCCUUCACUGCUUCUGCCUCAGCCCGUCAGCUCCGGCGGCCUGACCCAACUCCUCUUCUUCCCACCGCCCCGUUUCUCCGGCCCUUCCUCCUCCUCCACCAUCACCGGGCCCCUCUGUCCUCAUUUAAGUCCUCACAGAGCCCACCCUCUCCAGGAAGCCUUCUUUGAUUUAGGCAAGAAAGGUUGUCCAGCUAGUCCAAGCCGCUUCUCUGCCCUUCGGGACUGCCCCCAAAUCUUACAAAAUGAGGAAAGAAGGCCUGACACCCCCCACUCCCAUCCCUGUGCCCAGAGAAAACCGAGUCUGUCAGAAACUUCCCUGCCCCAGCCAGGGAGGACGCCCGAGACCGCUCAAACUCAUCUUGUUUGUCUCUCUGCCUCCGUGUUCCACGCCAGAGUCCGCAUGCAGAUGAGCCAAACCUCCUCACCCCCUCCCCACUGGCCACCCCUCUCCCAGCCCCAUCCUGGAAGGGGGCCGGCCACCCAACAAGGGGCUGCCAAUAAAAUGAGUAAAACUUCAAA